UACGUAGGGUGCAAGCGUUGUCCGGAAUUAUUGGGCGUAAAGCGCGCGUAGGCGGCUUGUUGAGUCCGGUGUGAAAGCCCGGGGCUUAACCCCGGGUCGGCAGUGGAUACGGGCAGGCUAGAGGUAGGUAGGGGAGAAUGGAAUUCCCGGUGUAGCGGUGAAAUGCGCAGAUAUCGGGAGGAACACCGGUGGCGAAGGCGGAUCUCUGGGCCAUUACUGACGCUGAGGAGCGAAAGCGUGGGGAGCGAACAGG
rnacentral:rRNA from 1 species